rnacentral:tRNA from 1 species
AUUUAAAUAGUUUAAUUAGAAUAAUAAUUUGUGGUGUUAUAGGUGCAUAAGUGCUUUAAAUC